rnacentral:rRNA from 1 species
UUUUACAAUGGAGAGUUUGAUCCUGGCUCAGGAUGAACGCUAGCUACAGGCUUAACACAUGCAAGUCGAGGGGAAACGACAUCGAAAGCUUGCUUUUGAUGGGCGUCGACCGGCGCACGGGUGAGUAACGCGUAUCCAACCUGCCCACCACUUGGGGAUAACCUUGCGAAAGUAAGACUAAUACCCAAUGA